UACGUAGGGUGCAAGCGUUGUCCGGAAUUAUUGGGCGUAAAGGGCUCGUAGGCGGUCCAUCGCGUCGGGAGUGAAAAGCUGGGGCUCAACCCCAGUCCUGCUUCCGAUACGGGUGGACUAGAGGUAGGCAGGGGAGAACGGAAUUCCUGGUGUAGCGGUGAAAUGCGCAGAUAUCAGGAGGAGCACCGGUGGCGAAGGCGGUUCUCUGGGCCUUACCUGACGCUGAGGAGCGAAAGCCAGGGGAGCAAACGGG
rnacentral:rRNA from 1 species